CAACAAGUUAUAGCCGCCAUAUUUUAAAACUCGAUGCAACCUUUGGUUUGAAUUGCCAUUUUCCAAAAGAACUAUCGAAAUGUGAACAAAGACUCUCGUUUCAUGGUAUGUGCCUACAAGAUGGAUUGGUUGGAAACAAGUACAUUCAUGUUGCUGAUGAUCUUUUCAAGUUUGAUUACAAUGUAGACCUAUGGUGUGUGAAUGAAUUCCAAUUGACUGACAGUGUUUGUUUGGAUCCUGCUAUUUAUAUCAUCUGGAUUUGUUCAGUUGUUCUAUGUUGAUCCAGUUGGUAUUUGUGGAGGUGAUACAUACUCUAGCAUAAAGGCAGAACCAAUGGACAUAUCAUCAGAAGACGAAUUUUUAAAGAAUGGAUUGCCCACAUUUGUGAUACGUGGAAAGGGAGCAAAUAACAUCAACAGAGCCAAUGAACAGAGAAAUGCGAAUAUAACUGUGAAAUCUGGUGAUUCAGUUCACAGAGAUUGUAGAAGGGAUUUUAUAGACUUGAGAAAUGUAAAGACUGAUAAUAGUGGAUAUGCAUGUGACUCUUUGACAACAAGAUCCAGUUGUACAACUUUCGAUUUUAAAUCUAAUUGUUUCUUCUGCACUCACAAAUAUAAUAAAAUAUGUAGUGAAGUCCACAGAGUCGAACAAUUUAAUUUUACUGCAACUAUAAAAAAAGUUAUCUAAUGUAAGAAAUGUGUGGUAAUGAGGUUCAUGCUAGGUUGAUAUCAGUCCUUGAUUUGCAGGCUGCUGAAGCAAUUAACCAUCAAGUGUGCAAUGUAAACUUUCGUACUUUUAAGCAGGUGCCUGACAGGUUUGCAAAAGAUGAAAAAAGCAAGAAAUUACCAGGAAGACAACAGUGCACAGGAUUGCUGGAAGGAUUUACAUAUGUCAUUAACUAUAUCGAAAGCAAUGAAGGGGAGCAUUAUCGGUCAAAGAAUUAGUUCAAGUCAUGGAACAAACCUGUGGAGAGAGAGAGAGCCUACUCAAGUAAAUAUAUGAAAUAGAAAAUUAUUGAACAUUUUGGUGAUACAAUUGCAUUUGCUUCUACACAAGGCCAAGAAGAUAAAAUUAUUAUGAAACAUACCGCAUCUGAUAUCUUAAGCAAAUUCACAAAAGAAAACUUUGGAGACUCAGAGGCAGAACAAAAACGUAAAAUUAUUUCAAGAACGGCAAAACUUAUUAAGUCUGAUAUUGCUGCUGUAGAUGCAUCAAAAACAUUUUAUCCGUCUGUUGGUACUGUCCAGUCUGCAGAAAGGAACAGAAAGUUACUACCAGACACAUUAGAUUUUCUCCUGUCGUCAAUGUUUUCAGGAAAGAACACUGAGAUAAAGAUUGCAGCGGUUGGCCAGUCAAUUAUGCAAGCUUGUAGACCAAAGUCCUUAAUCGCACCAUUACAACUUGGUCUAGCAGUUCAGGUUCACCAUUUAUAUUCUUCAAGAUUUCUUGUAGAUGAACUUUACCAGAUGGGAUUUUCAUCUUCCUAAUCUGAGGUGCAGCGUUUCCAGUCCAAUGCCGCUAUGUCAUUAAAUGCUGUAGUCACAGGAUUUUUUCCAGGCCAGUUUCUUUGCAAUGCAGGCAAUGGAUGGGUGACUCUAGUCUUAGACCUGAAGAUUUUGGAUGGGAACUGAAGGAUGGAACAUACAUACCAAUAAAGACAGAUCUUCCUCCAGCCCCAGAAAAUUUGCUGAAUAUAAUUCGGUGUAACUGCAAGGUCAGUUGUGAUACUAGAAGAUGCACCUGUAGAAAACAUGGUCUUGAAUGUUCAGUUGGUUGUGGAGCAUGCAGAGGUCUCAAUUGUUCGAACUCAAUGACUCUUGCAGAAGUAGAAGCUGAUGAAAGUACUGAAUAGAAGUUAAUCAUACCCGUGAUGUAUCACAUUCAAAUUAGAGUCCAUGUUUAACUUGGUGACACACAUUAUUUAUGUUAUGAGACAAACUGAAAUCAUAAUAUAACACCAUUAAAAGACAUAAUUUGCUUUGAAAUAAUAAUGCCAGUCUAAGCGGUAAUAGUCUUGAAUUAAUUUGGUAUAUUACCAUUUAGUAGAUGAAUUAAUAGUCUUAGAACAUGACUAGAUAUAUUAUACUUUAUAAAGUUCAGUAUGUUACGUCUGAUGUUUUCUUACAUAUUAUUCAAAUUAUUUGCACGUUAUCAUAGAAUAAUGAGUUGAUGGCUUAAUCAGGUGUCAAUAAUAACUGCUUUUUAAUUUUGUGACAAAUGCAUUCUAAUGAUUUAUUCACUUGACUAUUUGCUAUUUUUGUAAUGCUCUGAAAUUGAAAGAUAUGUAUUUAUAUAUUUAUUUAAAUGUACUUCAGGUAGUUAGGUACAGUUCUAAAUACUUGAUGUAAUGUUUAUCUUCAAGUAAAUUUAUCAUUUUCUUGCAUCAGAUUGAUAUAUGAGCCAUGCCAUGAGAAAACCAACAUAGUGGCUUUGCAAUCAGCAUGGAUCCAGACCGGCCUGCGCAUCUACGCAGUCUGGUCAG
rnacentral:lncRNA from 1 species